rnacentral:rRNA from 1 species
UACGUAGGGUGCGAGCGUUAAUCGGAAUUACUGGGCGUAAAGCGUGCGCAGGCGGUUUGUUAAGCCAGAUGUGAAAUCCCCGGGCUUAACCUGGGAACUGCGUUUGAAACUACAAGGCUAGAGUGUGGCAGAGGGGGGUGGAAUUCCACGUGUAGCAGUGAAAUGCGUAGAGAUGUGGAGGAACACCGAUGGCGAAGGCAGCCCCCUGGGUUAACACUGACGCUCAGGCACGAAAGCGUGGGGAGCAAACAGG